CCGAACACAGUCCACAUUCUCAAAAAAAAUUACAAACCUCAUGCCCUAAUUGCAUCCUCUUUACACACACUUCUACACAAGACAAGGCUGCAUAUACAAGAACUUCGAUCGAUGUCUCCCACGAUAUGUAACGGGGUAGAUGUCCCAAACCAACGCAAAGGUCGCAGUGACGACGACCACCAUUCCAUCUUCAAUAAUCACGAUAAAAUCACAUAAAGGCAAUGACGCACAAGAUUAUAGUGAUGACAUUUCUUGUAAAGAAAAAAGAAAAGAACUGUCGUUUUAUGUUAUAGAGCAUUACCUAAGCUACUCAAUGAAAAUAUAACAUUGGCAUGAAUAAUAGUUUUCAUGCUAGGCUUGAGAAUGAAAACUAACACUACACUCUAG
rnacentral:misc_RNA from 1 species